rnacentral:rRNA from 1 species
CGAACUUAACUAAAUGAAUGCGGUGCUUGCACCAAGUGAUUUUAGAGCGGUGAGCGGCGGAUGGGUGAGUAACACGUGGGUAACCUGCCUCUAAGCAGGGGAUAACAUUUGGAAACAGAUGCUAAUACCGUAUAAAUCCUAAAACCACAUGGUUUUAGGCUGAAAGGCGGCUUCGGCUGUCACUUAGAGAUGGACCCGCGGCGUAUUAGCUAGUUGGUGAGGUAAUGGCUCACCAAGGCAAUGAUACGUAGCCGAACUGAGAGGUUGAUCGGCCACAUUGGGACUGAGACACGGCCCAAACUCCUACGGGAGGCAGCAGUAGGGAAUCUUCCACAAUGGACGCAAGUCUGAUGGAGCAACGCCGCGUGAGUGAAGAAGGCUUUCGGGUCGUAAAACUCUGUUGUUGAAGAAGAACACGUUUGAGAGUAACUGUUCAGACGUUGACGGUAUUCAACCAGAAAGCCACGGCUAACUACGUGCCAGCAGCCGCGGUAAUACGUAGGUGGCAAGCGUUAUCCGGAUUUAUUGGGCGUAAAGCGAGCGCAGGCGGUUUUUUAAGUCUGAUGUGAAAGCCCUCGGCUUAACCGAGGAAGUGCAUCGGAAACUGGGAAACUUGAAUGCUGAAGAGGACAGUGGAACUCCAUGUGUAGCGGUGAAAUGCGUAGAUAUAUGGAAGAACACCAGUGGCGAAGGCGGCUGUCUGGUCAGUUAUUGACGCUGAGGCUCGAAAGCAUGGGUAGCGAACAGGAUUAGAUACCCUGGUAGUCCAUGCCGUAAACGAUGAAUACUAGGUGUUGGAGGGUUUCCGCCCUUCAGUGCCGCAGCUAACGCAUUAAGUAUUCCGCCUGGGGAGUACGACCGCAAGGUUGAAACUCAAAGGAAUUGACGGGGGCCCGCACAAGCGGUGGAGCAUGUGGUUUAAUUCGAAGCAACGCGAAGAACCUUACCAGGUCUUGACAUCUUCUGCUAUUUCUAGAGAUAGAAAGUUCCCUUCGGGGACGGAAUGACAGGUGGUGCAUGGUUGUCGUCAGCUCGUGUCGUGAGAUGUUGGGUUAAGUCCCGCAACGAGCGCAACCCUUAUGACUAGUUGCCAGCAUUAAGUUGGGCACU